GCCUCAGUAGCUCAGGGGAUAGAGCAGCGGCCUUCUAAUCCGCCGGUCGGGGGUUCGAUUCCCUCCUGGGGCACCG
rnacentral:tRNA from 10 species